UGGUAGUCCGCAACGAGCGCAACCCUUAUCUUUAGUAGCCAGCACGUUAAGGUGGGAACUCUAGAGAGACUGCCGAGGAUAACUCGGAGGAAGGUGGGGAUGACGUCAAAUCAUCAUGCCCCUUAUGAUUUGGGCUACACACGUGCUACAAUGGCGGAUACAAAGGGAAGCGAAAGGGUGACCUGAAGCAAACCCCAUAAAGUCCGUCCCAGUUCGGAUUGAAGUCUGCAACUCGACUUCAUGAAGUUGGAAUCGCUAGUAAUCGCGAAUCAGCAUGUCGCGGUGAAUACGUUCCCGGGCCUU
rnacentral:rRNA from 1 species